UGCCGUGUGAAAAACUCCGGUGGUGUAAGAUGGAUCCGCGUCUGAUUAGCUGGUUGGCGGGGUAGAAGCCCACCAAGGCGACGAUCAGUAGCCGGCCUGAGAGGGUGAACGGCCACAUUGGGACUGAGACACGGCCCAAACUCCUACGGAAGGCAGCAG
rnacentral:rRNA from 1 species